ensembl:snRNA U6 U6 spliceosomal RNA
GUCUUCGCUUUGACAGCACAUAUAUUAAACUUGACAUGAUCCAGAGAAGAUUAGCAAGUCCACUGCCCAAGGGUACAUGCAAAUUCGUGAAGCACUGCAUAUUUUU